CAUCCAAUGUUUCUCUGUCUUCAGUGUUUCUCUUCUGUUUUUUUGUUUCUGACUGAUUGUGUUCCAGUCCAGAGGAGGUGGCCAUUGUUUUGCCCUGCACUGUCUACCUGCUGUGUUUAUGCAUCACCUCUUUCUAUGAGUGAGUAUUAAGUGUGGUCAGUUUUGGGAUGGACAGAUAUAGGUUAUAUUGUAAUACGUCCGUCACUCUCAUAUUCUCAUCUUUCUUCAGAACAGCUCAAGCUCAGACAGAUUGGAUGGAGAAAGUCGGUGAAGUCAUACGUCAUAAUCUCUGUCGAAUUUCAGCCUGUACUUUGACUUGGCCAAUACUCAUUGAUCUGAACCAUCCCGGUCUCCAGAGGGGUUUCUGCCCUGUAUUCAGCUCAAUCCAUAAAAUAAAGUUGCCACCAAGUUU